rnacentral:rRNA from 1 species
CGCCUGUUUAUCAAAAACAUCUUUUCUUGUUAGUUUUUGAAGUAUGGCCUGCCCNCUGACUUUNGUGUUGAAGGGCCGCGGUAUUUUGACCGUGCAAAGGUAGCAUAGUCAUUAGUUCUUUAAUUGUGAUCUGGUAUGAAUGGCUUGACGAGGCAUGGGCUGUCUUAAUUUUGAAUUGUUUAUUGAAUUUGGUCUUUGAGUUAAAAUUCUUAGAUGUUUUUAUGGGACGAGAAGACCCUAUAGAGUUUGACAUUUAUUAUGGUCUCUUUCUUGUUUGUGAGGGUUCACUGGGCCGUUUAAUGUGUUUUGUUGGGGUGAUGGGAGGGAUAUAAUUUAACCCCUCCUUUGUUUUGUUAUAUUUAUUUAUAUUUGUUUGAUCCAUUUAUUUUGAUUGUAAGAUUAAAUUACCUUAGGGAUAACAGCGUAA